rnacentral:tRNA from 1 species
GAGGGUAUAGCUCAGUGGCAGAGUUAGUGUUUAGCAUGCAUGAGGUCCUGUGUUCAAUUCCCAGUACCUCCA